rnacentral:rRNA from 1 species
GACGAACGCUGGCGGCGUGCCUAAUACAUGCAAGUAGAACGCUGAAGAGAGGAGCUUGCUCUUCUUGGAUGAGUUGCGAACGGGUGAGUAACGCGUAGGUAACCUGCCUUGUAGCGGGGGAUAACUAUUGGAAACGAUAGCUAAUACCGCAUAACAAUGGAUGACACAUGUCAUUUAUUUGAAAGGGGCAAUUGCUCCACUAAAAGAUGGACCUGCGUUGUAUUAGCUAGUAGGUGAGGUAAUGGCUCACCUAGGCGACGAUACAUAGCCGACCUGAGAGGGGGAACGGCCACACUGGGACUGGGACACGGCCCAGACUCCUACGGGAGGCAGCAGUAGGGAAUCUUCGGCAAUGGGGGCAACCCUGACCAAGAAACGCAGCGUGAGUGAAGAAGAUUUUCGUGUCGUAAAGCACUGUUGUAAGUCAAGAACGGGUGUGAGAGUGGAAAGUUCACACUGUGACGGUAACUUAACAGAAAGGGACGGCUAACUACGUG